rnacentral:lncRNA from 1 species
GACUGAGGAAGGAGAAACAGACCAAAUCACAGUCUGGGAAGGGGAUGGUGGCCAGAGGUGGGGUCCGGCCUGGACGGCUGUGGCUGCUUCUCUGUGGUCAUACUUCAGGGACUGUUUCCGUGGGCACUUGGGGGACAGAGGGAGUGAACAGUAGGAGAGUCAUCUGGAUCCGUUAAAGUAAUAGAGC